ACAAAAUUUGAAAAUUAUUUCAUCUGUUUUUCAAGAUAUUAACUUUAGAUUCGACAUAUUUUUUUUAAUUUUAAAAGUGACAAGUGAAUUGAAAUACGUUAAUGAGGAACAGUAGUUUGAUACUUAUAUUUUAUUAUUAUUAUUGUUAUUAUUAUUAUUAUUAUUAUCAAGAUAAAUACUCGAAAAAUUAAAACAUUCCAGCGUUUGCGUUGAACAAGUGUCUUCAAAGCUGUCAUUGAAGUAAAUAUCAGAGAGCCGAUAAUCCAUAUAAACAGUGAUCGAACGUAUCAAUACUUGAUAAAUACAUAUUGAGUUUUAUUCUAAGAUUAUAUAUUAAUUUUAUAAUCAAGUUACAAAGUUAUUCUUUUAAUUGAUUUCAUAGUAUGAGUGACUUUAAAAUCACCAUAAAGACACAGAGUGCUUUAGAAAUUUCCUGAAUAUUAUUUCGUAUUAACAAUAAUCAUAUAAAUCAAUUCAACAUGGACAGAAUAUUACAUCGUUAAUUGUUUCAUCAUAAUUAUACUACAAUUAAAAGAUUACAGUCAAAGAGAAAAAGGACUAGGUGGAAUAGUUGGAAGAAAAGGGUGGUUAUAAAUGAACGUCAUGUCCCUUCAUGAUGACAUCGAUUUCAAUAGCCCCAGUAUCCAGCAGCAAAUGCUUGAGUGGCAGGCAAAAAAAUGUAACAAUGGUUCAAUCCCUAAAAAAGGCUGGUGCCCAGAAAUCUGGGAUAGUAUUCUUUGUUGGCCUUCUACUGCUCCUGGAGAGUUAGCAGCACUUCCUUGUCCCCAUUAUAUCGCUGGAUUUGAUUUACAGGCUAAUGCAACAAGACAAUGUAACUCGAAUGGACAAUGGUAUUGGAGUAUGGAAACUAACAGUACAUGGAGUAAUUAUACUGGAUGUUACAGCGCAAAAUUCGUUACCGUUCUCAUGGAUAUGCCGGAACUACAAUCAGGCAAUGUCACGUUGAUAAAGAAAUACUUACCCGUUGUGAAACUUAUAUCUACUGUUGGGUAUGCUGUUUCUCUCUCAACCCUUAUUGUAGCCUUCUGCAUUCUAAUUGCUAUAAAGAAACUUCGAUGUCCACGGAAUAUGCUUCAUAUGCACCUCUUUGUAUCAUUUAUGCUACGAGCUUUCAUGGCGUUACUCAAAGAAAUACUUUUUAUCUCUGGAAUUGGAUUGUCUUCUGAUGUAAUUAUCAAAAAUGGAGAAAGUUACUGGUUUGAUGAUAGUCUGGAAAGUAAUUGGCAUUGUAAAGCCUUUACAAGUAUUUGGCAAUACUUUAUACUGGCUAAUUAUUCUUGGAUUCUUAUGGAAGGUCUUUACCUGCAUAAUUUAAUCUUUUUUGCAUUAUUUACUGAUUCUAAUUCGAGCAUUGGUGGUUACGUCAUACUUGGCUGGGGUUUACCAGCAAUUUUUGUCCUGCCUUGGAUUUUUAUGAGAGUUUCACUUGAAGAUACAUUUUGUUGGACUACAAAUGAAAACUCUUACGUCUUUUUAGCGAUACGUAUUCCUAUAAUACUUUCUGUUUUAAUUAAUUUUGUUUUAUUUGUUAAUAUUGUCCGUGUUCUAUUCUCGAAACUAAAAUCGUCAGUUUCCGAAGAAACACAUCGAUACAAACGAUGGAUUAGGAGUACUCUUGUCCUUGUUCCACUUUUCGGAGUGCAUUAUACUGUUUUCUUGGGAUUAUCUUACAGCAUUGGUAUUGAUGAGCGAGUAGAGCUCAUUUGGUUAACGGGUGAUCAACUUUUUGCAUCCUUCCAAGGAUUUUUUGUGGCUGUUUUAUACUGUUUUUUAAAUGGCGAAGUAAGAACUGAAGUUACUCAAACUCUAAAAAGAAAAAAAUGGCCAAAAUUAGGUAGUAAAAAAUGGAGAGCACGAUCUACGAGUAGAUGUAAUAGUACGUGUAGUUGUAAUGCAACAAAAAUUGAAGAAAUAAAACAUUCACAAACUUGGUGGAAAUUACCAUGGGCCUGUCUACUUCAAAAUCAAAAUAUUCAUCAAUCUACUCACUCGAUGAUGUUACAACCCAUGGAUGUAGUUUAGCAAGUAGCCGGUACUAUCUGGAUCAGAAUGUGGACCAGAGUCUUAAUAUCUCUGAUGCUUUCUGUCAUCCAAACAAUCACACAUCUUUACUCAAAACUGAUUAUACUAACCAAUCAACCCUUUCAUUUCAUAAUUGUGAAGCACACUCUAUAAAUGCAAUUGACAAAAUGGAUCAUGCCAAUCAACGAUGGAGUGAUUCUGAAUGUUGCAGCUUAGCUUUAGAGCUUCAUUCAUUUUCUUGAUUGACUGAAUUAAAACAGAUACAAAAAACAUAAAAUCCUUCAAGAUCUCAGGGAGGAGAAUAAUCAGCUGGAUAAAUAAUAGUGUCUACAUUGAGCUGAUUUCAGAAAGUCUAAAUAAAACAUUCCGUUAUAAACGAUAUAUUAAAAUAAAUUGAUAAAUUUAUAUAAAAAUAAAUUACCUAUAAAGUCUCAGGCUGAAUUUUUAUA